GCUGGCUUUACCGCAAAGGCCCUCUCACGGGAGAACUGCGGCUUUGAAGAGCACCGCGCGGCCACCGAUCUUAUAUACAAACUCGGAGAGCUGCAACGUCAGCGCGCUCUCACAUGGUGGUCCUGCUGGCCUGCAAUUCCUGAUCUUCUACCUCAUCCUCCAGAGUGCUGGGGUGACAGGCCUGUGCCAUCACACCUGACUAACAAAAACAAUUUGUUACAUUCUCUGAGGCCAGCUGGAUACAGAUCAGGACUACCUGAUGUUAACAUCAAGGGUAUCUGUAAAGCCUGGAGGUAAGCAUGCUGUAGUGUGCACGUUCAUCCAUUCCCCACCCCCAGCCCCUGCCAAGAUGGCCCUCAUGGCAUUCUAUAUUUUUCACCUUUUUCCAGACAGGAUAGGACAUCCUAUCUAGUUAGCUAGGGUGGAACUCAAUACAGCACGAAUAGAGCUCUUUUCAAUCUCACUAUUCAUAGGAGCCCCAUGGGCUACCUGACUCCAGGCUACUCAGGUUCAGGGCUUCAAAGUCAUAGCUUCACUCAUCAGAUAAACUGAGGACUCUUGCUCAAGCAGUCCAGGUUAUCAGUCUUUUAGGAAGCUUUCCCCCGGGACAAAUUCUGUCUAUCUUGUGGGCCUUUGUAAGUAAUCACCUGCUGUUUUCUUCUGAGGAACAGGAAUAAGUGAAACUCUCUGGAAUGCCUUUGUUGUAUGUGUGUGUGUGGCUGUGUGACCCUGACUCAUUUCACCUGUGUGAUCGUUCAGCCACCAGCCUUCCGGCCAUGUCAUAAGAAACACCACAGCGUACUGAAGACUCACCAAGAACGUGAUGGCUCUGUUCCAGUCACCUUUGUAGCUCAAGAAAUCUCAGGCAGCAAGCCCAGAAGGUCUCUUCGCACAAUUCCAUAAAUCCAGAUGUGAGCUCUCAGCUGUUCCUGCCACCGUGCCUUUAUUCUGCCGGCAUGGACUCUCACCCUCGGACAGUGUAAGCCCAGUUAGCUCCCUGCCUUUUUGUUCUGAUGCUCCUGCAGGCUGAGCAGCUUGAGACGGAGCAGCACAUCCUCAUGGAAGUAGGUGUUCGCUUGGAACUGGUGUUGGAGUGUUUGUAAGCGCAUUUGGGAUUUAACUGGAUCCCGGUUAUCUAUUUCUCGGUAACAAUCCCUCUGUAUUAGUUCUGUUUCCACCACUGUGAUAAAACAUAAUGACCCAGGUGACUCAUAGAAGGGAGGGUUUGAACUUACGGUUCCAGAGGAAGAAGAGUCCCUCACCAUGGCAUAGCAUGGCAGCAGGCAAGCAUGGUGGCUGGGCAGCAAGCUGGGAGCUCCCAUUUAAAUCACAAGCUCCAAACAGAGAGCUGACUGGGAAUGGCACAUGGCUUUUAAAACCUCCAAGCCAGCUCCCAGUCAUACAUACGCUUCCUCCAGCAAGGCCACACCUCCUAAACCUCCCCGGCUGAGAACCGCCAACUGAGAACAAAGAAUUCAAAUGCCCAAGACUCUGGGGGCAUCUCAGGCAGACCACCACACCCUCCCAAACUGUAGUAGUUUAGAGCAAUUUACUUACUCUCUUCACAGUUUGGGGGAUGCUAUGAGGCCCAGCUGAGCUCCUAAACUUGUGUGCAGUCAGAUGGCGGGUAAGGGCGGGUUCUAUGAGACUCUGUGUCACUUAAGCUGGACUGGCUGGAACACAGCUGUAGGAUUCCUUGUGCACUAGAAGCAUGGCAGCAGUGCGUGUCUCCCCAACCCCACCCCACCUCCCCUCUCCCCUCUCAGUCUCCUUGGUUCUGAUUUUUUGUUUUGUUUUUUUAUAAGGCAAGGUCUCACUGGGCUGGUACCACAUUCAUAUAGCAAUCCUUCUGCCUCAGUUCAGAGUGAUUACAGGUGUGAAGCACCAUGCCCAGCUUGAGGAAUUCUUCCCAGCCAGCAUGUAGUUCUUCACAAACCGUUGCUCUUUGUUGAAAUCCCAGUCUAUCCUCCGUCAUGUCUUAUCUUCAACCAUGGCCGAUGUUAGUGGCGUAGCUGUCGUUAAAAAGGUCACAGAUUGUGAAGUAAACAGAAAGAAGUGCUGAUUGCCAGCACUGGACUUUGAGCGCUCCCUGUAAUAGCCAUGGAAAUCUUCCCAAGCCAGCUGGGUGGCCACCAGGCCUCUGCUGAGAGUACUGGGAAGGCUGAAGCAGGACUGCAAACUCCAGGCCAGCCUGAGCUACACAACACGCUCUCCCUAUUCCCCAAGAGAAGGGUCUUUGUCCUAUUUUCUGUCCUAAAAUUGUUUUAUUUCUUUCUUUAGAUUUAUUUUAUUUUAUGUGUAUGAGCAUUUUGCCUGUAUGUAUAUCUAUGCACCACAUGUGUGCUUGGUGCCCUCAGAGUUCAGGAGAGGGCACUGGAUCACCUGGAACUGGAGUUUGGGAAAUGGAUAGCUAUGAGCCACCAUGUGGGUGCUGGGAAUUGAACCCAGGUCCUCUGCCAGAACAAGUGCUCUUAAAUGCUGAGCUAUCUCUCCAGCCUCUAUUUUUUAAAUUAUUAUUGCAAAAUAAUAUCUCUCUUUUAUUAAAAAGUUAGUGAGAACAGGAUGCCAAGAUAUAGCUCAGUUGGUCAGUGCUUCCGUAGUACACACAAAGCCCUAGGUUCUAUCCCCAGCACAGCAUAGACUAGAUGCUGUGGUGCUUGCAUCAAAAGUUCAAGGUCACCCUCGGCUACAUAAUCAAGUCUAAGACCAGCCUAGGUUACACAACACCCUGUCUCAAAGCUGAGAGACGGAUAAGCCAGCAAGAUGGCGGGCGCAGUAGAUAAAGCACUGGCUACCUAAAUCAGUCCCUGGGACCCACAAGGUAGAAGGAGAGAACUGACUACCCAAAAUUGUCCUCGGACUUCUACACGUGAACCCACCACACCCAGAUAAAUGAAUAAAUAAAUAAAUGUAAUUUUAAAAGAUUUAAAGAGGAAGAGAGCUAGAUUUGGUAGAUGGGUAUCUCUAAUCCCUGCUGUUGGGAAACUGGGUGGGACAGGAGGAUUCCUGGGAAUUCAAGGCUAGGCGGGUCUAUAUAGUGAGACCUUGAUUCAAAAAGAGAGAGAGAGUUAGCUAUGCUAUGAAUUAUAAAGAAUUUUGAGAACUAACUUAGAAAUACAACACUGUUCUGGGUUUCUCCAAGGGGAAAAAACCAAAGCAGUCCAGGCUUCACAAAAUUAAAAGGACAUUUACAGACUUAUCUGGUGUAUAUCUGACUCUUGCCUGUUCAUUGGCUUCUUUUUCUGUUUGUUUUUAAUUUUUAAUUUUAUGUGCAUGUGUAUUUUGCCUGGGUAUAUGUCUGUGCACCACAUGCAUGCCUAGUGCCUGCAGAGGUCAGAAAAGGGUGUUGGAUUCUCUAGAACUGGAGUUACAGACAACUGUUACCUAUCAUGUGGUUGCUGGAAUGGAACCCUGGUCCUCUGGAAGAGCAGCCAGUGCUCUUAACCAUUGGACCUUCUCUUCAACCCUUCAUUGGUAUCUCCCCCUCCCCCAGACACGGUUUGUCUGUGUAGCUCUGGCUGUUCUGGAUCUCUCUCUCUGUAGACCAGGCUGGCCUCGAACUCACAGAGAUCCACCUGCCUCUGCCUCCUGAGUGCUGGGAUUAAAGGCGUGCGCCGCGGCAGCCGCCGUGGCCGCCGCCGCCACCACCACCACCACCACCACCACCUGGCUUUCAUUGGUAUGUUUUUAUUGAAUUCUAUCCAACUUGAAUUGUGUUAUGUGAUACUGAAAUAUUGAUGUUGAUGUGGGGCUUCCCAUAAUGUUCUGUGUGGGUUCAGGACUAUGCUGCUCUCCCUAGGCCAUGCUGUCUACAUCAGUUGAAACCUGUAACCUGAGGGUCAGCCAGACAAGGUGGGGAUUUCCCUGCAAGAAAUUUUCUACUUAAAAACCAAAACCACUGAUCCCAGCUGGCCGUGGUGAUCCCAGCUGGCCGUGGUGACACCUUUAAUCCCAGCACUGAAGGCAGAGGCAGGCAGAUCUCUUAUCUAAAUUCAGGCCUAGCAUGAUCUACAGAGCAAGUUCCUGAACAGCCAGCAGAGCUACGCAGAGAAACCCCGUCUCAAAACAAACAAACAAAUGAAAACAAUUAAAAAAAAAAUCCCACUGACCCACAUCAAAGGCCAGUCUAGCGGCACUGCUGACUGAGUUGGUGACCUCUGAAGUCAUCGUCUACAUACAUCUGCAUUCACUCUGUCCUAUCCUUUCAGAAGGUGGUACCCAAAGGCGGAGAAGACCCUGGGAAGAGUUGUCAUAGCAACUGUGCUCCGGGUACGGAGGAAGGCGAAUAGGACCAGCCUGUGAUCCCCAUUGGUCCACAGCCUUAGCAUCAUAGCAGCAUGACUACCUCUGCCACACUCCUCAGUAAGGCCCAGAGGCACUGAGACUCCUCCCUACCCCCACCCUGAUGAAAAGCCAAAAUCCCUUCUGUGGCUCCUAACAUAAUGUUAGACACAUGUGUGAGGUAACAAUACUAGGAAAGCAAAUUAAUUAGGAAGUGAUUCCAGCUGGGAAAACAACAUCUGGCAACACGGGUUAUUAGUAACUGUUUAGAAAGAACCACUCCAGUUCCCAUCUUUCUCUUCUCUUCCUUCUUUCCUUUCUCUUUCUGGUGCUGGACCAGAAUCUAGGACCUCACAUAUGCUAGGCAAGCACGAGCCAUCAGCCUCCUUUGCUUUUUUUCUUAUAAUUAUUAUUAUUAGAGAGAGGAUGCGUGGACACCACCGCACAUGUGUUGAGAUCAGAGGACAAUUUUAGGGAGUCAGGUUUUUUCUUCCAAAUUCACAUCAUUAGGCUUGCAGACCAAAUGCCUUUACCUGCCGAGCCAUCUCACAGGCUCGCUUUUCUUUUGGGCUUGUUUGUUUGUUGUUUUUAAGACAGGGUUUCUCUGUGUAGCCGUGGCUGGCCUGGAACUCUGUAGCCCAGGCUGGCCUUGAACUCAUAGAGAUCUGCCUGCCUCUGCCUCCCGAGUGCUGGGAUCAAAGGUGUGCACUACCACACUGGGCUCAGGCUCUCUUUUCUUUUUCUUUCUUUUCAUGAUUGAAGUUGAUGUGGGAGCACACCUUUAAUCCCAGCACUCCUAGGCAGAGACAGAUGGAUCUCUGUGAGUACCAGGCCAGCCUGGUCUAUAUGGCAAGUUGCAGGCCAGCCAGGGUUAUGUAGUGAGAUCCUGUUUAAAAAUAAAUAAAUAAAUAAGAAUAUCGUAACUGGGCGGUGGUGGUGCACGCCUUUAAUCCCAGCGCUAGGGAGGCAGAGGCAGGCGGAUCUCUGUGAGUUCAAGGUCAGUCUGGGCUACAGAGUGAGUUCCAGGAAAGGCGCAAAGCUACACAGAGAAACCCUGUCUUGAAAAACCAAAAGAAUAUCAUAGCAAAAACAAAAAGGAAAAUAAGCAUUUAAAUGAUUGAUUGCUAUGAAGUCAUUAAAAUUGAAGAAAGCUGUUUAAUGCCUUGGGGAAAUGCCUGUGGUAUCUUAAGUAAAAAGAAACAGAUCACAAGGGAGCAUUGCCUGCAGUUUUCAAGGGAUCCUGUGCAAAUAUUUGCACAGAAAAUAUGCUGGAGGGAUAGUGUCAACAUGUUGACAUGUACAGAGAUCCUGAGUUAAGAAGCCCUCACCCCUAGUCUGGGUGGUUUCUACCCUGUGGACCUCAUCACUUCCUUGCAUAUGCUCUUGUGACACUGAGGUCCCCAAUCUUUUCCUCUGGCCGUUGGACCACUCUCAGAACAGACAACGAUUGUUCCCAGUGGGCCAAUGGACCCAUGUGGGUACUUUAAAUGUGUCCCAGUUUAGAUUCUCAGAACAUCACCAACUGAGAGAUGUGGGCAGAGGAAGAUCACAGUGUUCUGGAAUGCUCUCUUCAAAGCCAAGCUACUAAGAGCCGAGCACACAGGCCACUUCCACAGCUUCCCAAUGGCUCUGAUCACUUGCUGCUCUACAGGGGACUGGGCAGAUAUGUUCAGAUAGCUGCCAUUUGAUUGUGGCUAGCAUGACCCUUGAGACUGAAAAUUAAUAGGCAGUCAUCAUUUAGAAACUUGGCUCAUUAUAGGAAUGAAGCAAUGUGGUAAGGGCAGAGACUAAUGACUGGGGAUGGCAGAGCCUCACUCACCGGGUCAGUGUCAGAGACCAGAGUGCAUGGGCUGGUAGUGGAAAUGAAGGAUUUACAGCUCCCAACCAUAGUGCCACUGGGCUCAAGAGGCUGAACUUCAGGGAGGGUCCUGGACAUCUUUCAUGUGCAGAGACUGAGCUUGGGAGAGGGAGUUGGUGCCCAUCUGUGAAGAUCUGUGGCUCUUGGUCAUACACUGAGAGCUACAGGGUCUACGGGCAGACCACCAGCAUUACUAAAAUGAAAAGUGGUAAGAUCUGGGCUGGGGAUUUAGCUCAGUGGUAGAGUGCUUGCUUGACAUAUCGAAGACCCUGGGUUCUAGAUCCAGCACAGGGGGGAAAAUGAUGCAUGGUGGUGCACACCUUUAAUCCCAGCACUUGGGAGGCAGAGGCAGGUGAAUCUCUGUGAGUUCGAGGCCAUGGUCUACAGAGUGAGUUCCAGGUCAGCCAGGACUGUUACACAGAGAAAACCUGUCUCAAAAACCCCCACCCCCCCCAAAAAAAAAGGAAAGGAAAAAGAAAUGAUGCUGUCUGAGUUGAUGUGGA